UUUACCAAAUAUGGGAUUACGUAAACACACCAUAUGUUGUUACACUACGUGUGACCAUUUUAUGUUAUCGGGCAUAUAUUUAUUGGAAUCAGAUAUGCAGCCGUCACAGCCAGCUGAUGAAGAUCCUCAGCUUAUACAGAGGUCAGGCUUGAGCUAUGUGCUGAUUCAAAAGAUGCUAAUGACAGUGGAUAAUCCAUUCUGAGCUGUUCUAGGACCAUUCACCAAGGUUCCAAAACACUGAUGGAUCUGAAGGCAGUACCUGUAUUGGUGUCUGGUCUGUGAUUUCAAGUAUAAUUGAUGUACCUCCUCCUGAUGUAUCUCCUUGAAUACAAUAUAUCUGCCAUGUGAAAGGAACAAGCUGCAAGAUAUACUGUGGAAGUGGGGGCCUAUGUAAAAAACAUUUUAUUUAAAGAAUAUAAAAAAUCUGACACUAAACUACUGAAAAGGUGCACAGGGGACAUUUUUGUGUGUAUAGACUUUCAUCAAGAUUCUGAGAAAGUUGAUUUAUCAAACAAAAAUAGUCAGAUUGUGUCUUCAAAGCUGAAAAGAUUAAGAUCUUAGGAAAACAUUAGGACUCAAGAAAAGUAAUGGGGUUAUGAAACUGUAGUGUUCAACAUUUAAAUUGUUUUUUUUUUUUUUUUUUUCACUACAUUUUGUGAAGAGGGUUCCAUCACAAGAUGCGACAUAUUGCCUGAUAUUGGUAAGAAUGAGAUGUAGUUUAUGAAAAAAAAGUAUUUUGCUUUAAAUGUGCAGACUUUAAGUUACAUAAAAAAUCAAAGCUCUAACAAUAAAGCUUGAUUAAAAA
rnacentral:lncRNA from 1 species